rnacentral:rRNA from 1 species
CAGCCCCUCGAGUGGUGGGGAUGAUUAUUUGGCCUAAAGCGUCCGUAGCCGGCCGAGCAAGUCUUCCGUUAAAUCCAGCGCCUCAAGCGUUGGACCGCGGGAGAUACUACACGGCUAGAGAGUGGGAGAGGUCAGCGGUAUUCUGGGGGUAGGGGCGAAAUCCUUUGAUCCCCGGAGGACCACCAGUGGCGAAGGCUGCUGACUAGAACACGUCUGACGGUCAGGGACGAAAGCUGGGGUAGCGAACCGGAUUAGAUACCCGAGUAGUCC